AGAGUUUGAUCCUGGCUCAGGAUGAACGCUGGCGGCGUGCCUAAUACAUGCAAGUCGAACGAGGUGCUUUUGUAGCAAUACGAGAGUAUCCUAGUGGCGAACGGGUGAGUAACGCGUUGGUGACCUACCCCAAAGUGUGGGAUAACAGUCCGAAAGGAUUGCUAAUACCGCAUGUGGUCCUCAGGUUUAGAAACUGAUGACUAAAGGAGCAAUUCGCUUUGGGAGGGACCUGCGUCCCAUCAGCUAGUUGGUGAGGUAAUGGCUCACCAAGGCGACGACGGGUAGGGGACCUGAGAGGGUGACCCCCCACAAUGGAACUGAAACACGGUCCAUACACCUACGGGUGGCAGCAGUAGGGAAUAUUGCACAAUGGGCGAAAGCCUGAUGCAGCAACGCCGCGUGCACGAUGAAGGCCUUCGGGUCGUAAAGUGCUUUUCUGGGAGAUGAGAAAGGACAGUAUCCCAGGAAUAAGUCUCGGCUAACUACGUGCCAGCAGCCGCGGUAAAACGUAGGAGGCGAGCGUUAUCCGGAUUCACUGGGCGUAAAGCGCGUGCAGGUGGCCUGGUAAGUUAGGCGUGAAAUCUCCCGGCUCAACUGGGAGAGGUCGUCUAAUACUACCGGGCUAGAGAACAGAAGAGGAAGAUGGAAUUCCCGGUGUAGUGGUGAAAUGCGUAGAUAUCGGGAGGAACACCAGUGGCGAAGGCGGCCUCCUGGACCGUUUCUGACGCUCAGACGCGAAAGCUAGGGUAGCAAACGGGAUUAGAGACCCCGGUAGUCCUAGCUGUAAACGAUGUGAACUUGGCGUCGGCGGGUUCAAAGCCGUCGGUGCCGAAGCCAACGCGAUAAGUUCACCGCCUGGGGACUACGGCCGCAAGGUUAAAACUCAAAGGAAUUGACGG
rnacentral:rRNA from 1 species